ACAACACGCCGUCGAGCGGCGGCGGCUGUUGUGGUGCUGCGGGGGCGGAGCGGAGGGCUGGUCGGCACCGGCGCGGCGGCAGGUCCUCGUCGGCCUGCACAGUUGGCAGUAGGAGCGGCGGACCGCAGCCGGCGACAGGGAGCUGCUCGGAGCCGAGACCGCACACAGGUCAGAAGAGGUCAGAAUGGUGCCCGCAGGAGAGAACAAAUGCUCCAACUGCCCGACGGGCUACUACGGCACCAAGGAGUUCACCUUGUGCGGCAUCAUCCUGGCCAUCGUGUUCUUCCCGUUCGGCCUCAUCUGCCUCUGGUGUCUGAGGGACACAAAGUGUAGUGCAUGCGGACACAAGCGGUAGGCGGCGCGCGGCGGAGAUGGGGGGAGAUGUGAGAGAUGGGGAGGGAGGAGAUGGGGAGAUGGAAGAGACGAGGAAAUUGGGAGAUGGAGAGCUAGAGAAAUGGAGAGACGGAGAGAUGGUGAGGUAUGAGACGGGAAAUGGAAAGACGCUGGUGUGAUGGUGAGAUGGAAGGGGUUGAGAUGGGCAAAUGGAGAUAAAGAGAUGGAUAGAUUGUGAGGUGGAGAGACAUCAGAACUCGGGUGGAGAAACGGUGAGAUGGGGGACAGGAAGAAAGACGGUGAGAAGGUGACGGUGAGAGAAAUGGAGCGAUGGAGAGAAGGGGAGAAGGAGAUACGGCGAGAUGGAGAGAUAAAGAGAUGGAAAGAGUCGGAGAUAGAGGAACGGAGGGACGGAGAGACGGUGAGAUGGACAUAUGAAGGUGAGACUGAAAAGGGGAAAUAAAUAGAGACGGCGAGGCAUUUGCCGUGAGGCGACGCGCGCGACAAGAAGCUGUCCACUGCGAAUGGGAAGCUGCCGGGGGAGCGCGGGGGGGGGGGGCGCUUGUAAUUUGUGUAUAAUUGAACAUGUGUGAAAUGUCGAGUGAUGUGUGAGCCAAGACAUCGCUGAGUGUGACCCGACAGAGCAUCUGAGAGAGACAGAGCCCGUGACGGAGAUGACCUGCAAAAACGUUACAUAUGUUGCGCUUCUCCAAAAACGAAUUCCGUGUCUAAAUUACCUCACGCUUGUAGCGACAUAUGCCGGCUAGUCAAUGUGAUCAUAAAGGUCGUAUAGGUAUGGAAACUAUCUUACCACGAUCAUUUUUUAAAGCCCUCACAAAGACCACGGCUGCCGUCAAAUUCUGCGCCGCCCCCACCCCACUGGGGCCCGCGGCGGCCGCCCCAAAAUCACCGCCUUCCGCGAACCCGUCCCGGCGCAGCCACAGGUCGAUACUCGGCCAGUGUUUGUCGGGCGCCUUACUGUCGACUCGGAGCGCGUCGUGUUCCAGCGUGGUCAGGGUCGGCCUGCUUAAAUCGAUAAUCGGAGACCAGUUGACGGGGGGAGUGGCAGCGUGUGCUCUGAGGAAGCAAUAUCGCACGACGCCGCACCAAAAGCCUCAAGGCAGACAAGCGAGUGGCCUUAUUUACCGAUUCGUGAAAAGUGUUCAGACUACUUUUUAAACAAUAUUUUUGUAGGUUGGAACAAACGAGACUGUUCCUAUCAGUCACAGCUCUAUUUGUUUCAUACCACCGUCUGAUGUUCAUCAAAACCGAUUCAAUAAGCUGGGGUGAUAUUAAACCCAAUGUUUUCACAGUUGGCUGUGGGAUAUUGAAGACCUUAUUUUAUAUAACAACUUUGAAAAAUGUUUUACCAAGCAGUCCAAGUCGCUGUUGGCCCUUACGCUUUUGUGUAAUCGAGCGCACACUGAAUGAUGUAAUCGGCUUUUGCAUUGGUGUUCCCGUGAAACAUCGUUGUAUCGUACACGAGAGCAACGACAUAACAACGUUCGUGUCGCUUUGCGUGUGUUUCGUACAAUAAACAUUGCUGUAUAAAA
rnacentral:lncRNA from 1 species